rnacentral:misc_RNA from 1 species
GAUGAAGAACGCAGCGAAAUGCGAUAAGUAGUGUGAAUUGCAGAAUUCAGUGAAUCAUCGAAUCUUUGAACGCACAUUGCGCCCCUUGGUAUUCCAUGGGGCAUGCCUGUUCGAGCGUCAUUUGUACCUUCAAGCUCUGCUUGGUGUUGGGUGUUUGUCUCGCCUCUGCGUGUAGACUCGCCUCAAAACAAUUGGCAGCCGGCGUAUUGAUUUCGGAGCGCAGUACAUCUCGCGCUUUGCACUCAUAACGACGACGUCCAAAAGUACAUUUUUACACUCUUGACCUCGGAUCAGGUAGGGAUACCCGCUGAACUUACGCAUAUCAAUAAGCGGAGGA